UAAGUGCAUCGUCCGAUUAAACGAUUUCACAAGUUACUUGACUUUUUAAAUAUAAAGUCAUUAUACUAUUAGUUAUAGGGAAUGAGGAUGACGAGGACGAAAAUGCAUUCCUUUAUAUUGAUAUUAACUUUUAUCGCCAUGUAUAAACAAACUACUGGAAGCAUUUGCUGCUUACCUCGCCAGUGGCAUGCGGUUCAAUUGGUGUCGAUGAGAUCUACUGACAAGGUAUAUGUAGAUGUUUCGUUCGAUGCAAAUCUGAAGAAUGUUGCAUCAUAUAUGAAAGUAUCAAGAGAAGGAAUACAAAGUCAAGAAUUUUCACUCCAAGAUUACGGCAAUAGUAUUGAGUACUAUGUCGCCAACAAUGUUUGUGAGAAAAUACCAAUCUCUACAGGUUUCCCUUGGUGUGUACC